rnacentral:rRNA from 1 species
UGACAAGUCGAGCGGGCCCUUCUGGGUCGUCGGCAGACGGGUGAUUAACGCGUGGGAACGUGCCCUUCGGUUCGGAAUAACUCCUGGAAACUUGAGCUAAUACCGGAUACUCCCUUCUGGGGAAAGGCUUGACUGCCGAAGGAUGGUCCCCCCUCUGAUUAUCUACUUGGUGAGGUUGUGGCUCCUCACGGCGGCGAUCAUUAGCUGGUGUGAUAGGAUGAUCAUCCACCCUGGGACUGAUACACGGCCCACACUCCUCCUGGAGGAGGCAGUGGGGAAUAUUGUUGAAUGGGGGCGACCCUGAUCCUCCCAUGCCGCGUGAUUAAUGACGACCUUAUGGUGGUAGAGCUCUUCUCUCCGGCACGACAAUGACGACACCGGAGGAAUAAUCCCCGGCUACUUUCUUCCCGCCAGCCGCGGUAAUACUA